rnacentral:rRNA from 1 species
AGAGUUUGAUUAUGGCUCAGGAUGAACGCUGGCGGCGUGCUUAACACAUGCAAGUCGAACGCUGAAGCUCCCAGCUUGCUGGGGGUGGAUGAGUGGCGAACGGGUGAGUAUCACGUGAGUAACCUGCCCUUGACUCUGGGAUAAGCCCGGGAAACUGGGUCUAAUACUGGAUAGGACUGGCCAUCGCAUGGUGGUUGGUUGAAAGCUUUUGCGGUUUUGGAUGGACUCGCGGCCUAUCAGCUUGUUGGUGGGGUAAUGGCCUACCAAGGCUUUGACGGGUAGCCGGCCUGAGAGGGUGACCGGCCACACUGGGACUGAGACACGGCCCAGACUCCUACGGGAGGCAGCAGUGGGGGAUAUUGCACAAUGGGCGCAAGCCUGAUGCAGCGACGCCGCGUGAGGGAUGACGGCCUUCGGGUUGUAAACCUCUUUCAGUUGGGAAGAAGCCUUUCGGGGUGACGGUACCUUCAGAAGAAGCACCGGCUAACUACGUGCCAGCCGCCGC